UAGCCGGAGACAUUGCAGCAUUCAGUGAUCAUCGAAUCUUUGACGCACAUUGCGCCCGCCAGCAUUCUGGCGGGCAUGCCUGUUCGAGCGUCAUUUCAACCCUCAAGCUCUGCUUGGUGUUGGGGCCCUACAGCUGAUGUAGGCCCUCAAAGGUAGUGGCGGACCCUCCCGGAGCCUCCUUUGCGUAGUAACUUUACGUCUCGCACUGGGAUCCGGAGGGACUCUUGCCGUAAAACCCCCCAAUUUUCCAAAGGUUGACCUCGGAUCAGGUAGGAAUACCCGCUGAACUUAAGCAUAUCAAUAAGCGGAGGAA
rnacentral:rRNA from 1 species